rnacentral:lncRNA from 1 species
GCAUGAAAAAUUGAAAAUUGUCAAAGGAGAUGCGUACGAUAUUGAUACCUUUGAAGCAGAAUUCUCUGGAAAAGAUGCAGUGUUAUCAUCUCUUGGGUCAACAUCAAUUGGUCCAUUUGCAACCACAACAUUGUAUUCAGACACUAUGAAGGUUAUUUUUGAGGCCAUGAAAAGGUAAGAUUGCAAAACCAGUAUGUUUGAAAUUUGGGGGGUGGGGCCCAGGGAUUGUUGAAAGGUCUGUGUGAAAAGUCUGUUGAAAGGUCCACAAAAUGUUGAAUUUCUCCAG